rnacentral:lncRNA from 1 species
UGAGAAAACUCCUCCGAGGAAUAGUAUGCAUUUCGAAUCCUAACCUCGGCGUCUACCGGACUAGGCAGGAUCGAAGGAGUGGUGUCGGCAGGGGCAUCCUGCAGUACGACCUCUAGAAGAUCGCCGGUGGUGACGGCGGAGGUAGCGGUGAUAGGCUCAGUGGCCGGAAUAGUGCUGGAUUUGGCCAUUUAGAAAGAAUGUGAUGCAAAUAAGAAGUUUUGGAAGGGAGAUAAGCAAAAAUAGCACUCAAAUGACAGUACAGGGGAGG